UCAAGCCUGGGCAAUGGCGGGCGCCCCUCCCCCAGCCUCGCUGCCGCCUUGCAGUUUGAUCUCAGACUGCUGUGCUAGCAAUCAGCGAGACUCCCUGGGCAUAGGACCCUACGAGCCAGGUGCGGGAUAUAAUCUCGUGUUGCACCGUUUUUUAAGCCUGUCGGAAAAGCGCAGUAUUCUGGUGGGAGUGACCCGAUUUUCCAGGUGCCGUCCAUCACUCCUUUCUUUGACUCAGAAAGGGAACUCCCUGACCCCUUGCGCUUCCCAAGUGAGGCAAUGCCUCGCCCUGCUUCGGCUCGCGCACGGUGCACGCACCCACUGACCUGCGCCCACUGUCUGGCACUCCCUAGUGAGAUGAACCCGGUACCUCAGAUGGAAAUGCAGAAAUCACCCGUCUUCUGCGUCGCUCACGCUGGGAGCUGUAGACCGGAGCUGUUCCUAUUCGGCCAUCUUGGCUCCUCCCUCUGAAGGCUACAGACACUUAUUGAGCAUCUACUAGAUGCCAAAUUCUGUGCUGCUGCUACAAUCCAUUGAGACUUUAACACCCACAUGGAAUACGCAAUUGGGAGAGAGUGAAGGAGUACUGAAGGCAAACUCAGGGGCUACACUUCACAAAAAUAGGAGAUUUGGAAUUUACAAAGAAGAAGAGGAGAAAGAGGAGGAGGAGGGGAAGGAGGAAGAAAAAGAAGAGGAAAAAGAGUAACAACAACAUAAAGCCAUAAGUCAAAGAAGAGUGUAGGGUUGGAUGAUGUUUUUCAAACAUUUUUGCCUGUGACUUACACUAAGAAAUAUACAUCUACACAGUGACCAGCUAAUGCUCCUCCCAUAAUUCACACACAGAUGACUAAAACAGAAGUUUCACAGAACAAUAUUUAUCUUUCGUGAGGCACGCUGAUAUUUUCUUUUUAAUUUCUAUUCAUUUAUAUUAUUUUCUGUAUUUUUCACUUAAAGACAUGCCAGUUGUGGCCUACUGGAUUGAUUUUCCUGCCCCAGUUGAACACAGACAGGAAUAGAGGUCCUUCGUGCAUGCAUGUGGAUUGUGGUUACUGAAGGGUCACAGGAGACUGCACAGGAGGAGGGGACAACUCACGACAGCAGAGUGGGGGCCACAGAGCCAAGGGCAAGCACGGAGGCCCAGGAAGGAAGGAUGGAAAAGAUGGUGCUGAGAACCUGGAAGUGUCGUAUUGAGAACAGAAAACGUACAGGCCAUUGACUGAACAUUCUGCUUGUUAAUUACAUAUUUUGGGAUUUUGAAGAAAAAGACAAAAUGUGUAAGAAGCAGAUUAAAAUUAGAAACAUGAGCAAGAGUAGGUGGUGGGAAAGUUAAAUGUAAGGAAAUAAACUGUUCCAGGACUUUUUUUUUUUAAAGGCUUUUAUUUCAAGGUCAGAAAAAUGUCACGGAAGGAAAAAAAUUAUUAUUUAUUUAAAAAGAAAACUGAAAUGUAAAAGAUAUGACAGAACUCUUCGGGAGGUAGAGAGAGUGAGGAAGAAAAGUGAGUACAAAGCAGAGAGGAAGAAUAUUGUUGCAGAAAAUCAUUGGUUCUAAUUCCCAAUUUCUGCCCAGCAUUGAUGAGGGAGAAAGCAAUGUAGAAGACAGAUUGGAAGACUAGAAGACAGUCCGGAGGCCCCAGAGGAAGCUAAUGGUCUGAAAUAACAGCUUAAGAACAAAGAACUGUGAAUAGUUGCUCACCUCUGAAAAAUUCUCGAAGGAAUAGGUGAUCAUUGGGUUGAAGACGAACAGAAGAUGAUAAACUUGGAAGAUAAUAAACUUAAAAGUUAUGCCUUUCUUAUAUGGUAAAAGGACUUUCUCCUGAAAUGCAAUAAACUUGAGAUGACUAGGGGAAUGAACACGCAAUGGAAGCUGGAGAUAGACAUCUGGGAGGCCUCUGUAGGGAUACAAGAGCCAACCUUCUGUAAGAGGGGGAGAAAAAGAAGGAAGAUGUGUGAGCUCCCCCUGGUGCUUUCCCGCAUUCAGGCCAACUGAAAGGAGCUGCAAGGAAACACGUCUACACAGGCAUCAGGAAAAAGAAAAUAUCUGGAUUAUUUCCUUUAAAAAGGCCUGUUUCCAUGCUGAUGGGCCUCAGAGCAAGACUUCCAGGCUUCGGGCCUGAAUUCUGUAUGUCAUCUUAGGAGGAAUUCUUGCCUUGUCAGAGAACGUGUUUCUAAAACAAAAUUUCAAGUGGGGGAUUUGCCAAGCUGUCCUGCGGACAGGAUUACUCUUGGAAUCAAACGGGAUUACUUUUUGUCCAGAAUUGUUCCCUUUGUUAGGCUAGUUAUUCUUUGACUGAAUAAUUUUCACACACUUCUCUUUGUAUGUGUUGACAGCACAAAGAUAUCACAGGAAUCUGGUACCAGCCAAUUUGACUGGUGGUGACUUUAAUUCCAGACAAUAUCUCCUAUCCUAAUAAUAACCUGUAUUCGUAAUGGCCUCUUUAACACUGGGGGUCAGGGACUUCUGUGGACUCCAGUCAUCUGUGAAGAUCGUCGGGGAGAUUUCACUCAGUCUAUUCAGUAUAUCCAGUAUAGUGGCCUGAAACAAUUUAUCAACGUGUAGUCAGUCAGUCCUGCUCUUGGUCCAUACAGUGGAGAGUCUAAAAGAUGUGUGAAAUACAUUCCCUACCUACACAUGGGCAAAUCACUUAAAGGAGCAAACUUUAAUGUUCACUAACAUAGUUAAAAUGGAUGGGCCAACAUUAUCAUGGUUCUUUCACCUCCUAAGUAAAUGCAAAGCUUUUCUUCACUCCAUUUUGUAUGUGUAAUUUUGAUUGAGUGGGAAUCUUGUAAAGCCAAAAAUGGAACUGAAAGCCCACUCAUAAGACCAUAAGUUUUUUUUUUAAUUUUUAAUUUUUCUUUUCAGGCAGGGUAUUGCUGUGUCGCCCAGGCUUGAGUGCAGUGGUGCCAUCAUGGCUCACUGCAACCUCUGCCUCCCAGGAUCAAGCGAUCCUCCCACCUCAGCCUCCUGAGUAGCUGGGACUUACUGUUGUGCACCACCACAGCUGGCUAAUUGUUAGAAUUUUAAUUUUUAUUUUUUUGUAGAGACAAGGUUUUACCAUGUUGUCCAGGCUAGUCUUGAACUCAUGGACUCAGGUUAACCACCUGCCCCAGCCUCCCAGAGUGCUGGGAUUACAGGCAUGAGCCACCACGCCUGGCCAAGACCAUAAAUCUUAAUUAAUCUAGUUCAUAGUCUCAAAUUCAUUCUACUCUCUGAUUUUUAUUUCUCCCAACUUACUGUGUGCACGCACCCCCCCUUUUUAAUGACAUUUCUCUGAUUUGCACUGCCAUCCUCUCUCCUACUUCAGUGAUCCAGCAUCCACAAUUCAUUUUGUCAUAGGUGAGGCUUACCUCUUUCCUGUCAGUUCUUCACCUGUACAGAUUGCUUCCUUUUCUCUUUUUGCACUUAUUGUUUGCAACACCCAAUGACUUCUUGUAGAGAGCCCAAUUCUGUAGUUGAUAAAACCCACACAUGCACGUAUGUUACAUCUGGCUCGGAAUUGGAAGCUCCAUGGAGAAAGGAAAUGGCUUUUGUUUCUUCAGUAUCUUCACACUCCCAAAUGUGCUGAUAUCUUUAGUCGUUCUUAGCUAAAUGAGUCAAUUGAAAUAAUAAUCUGGAGGGAUUUUUUUAAAUCUCAAAAAUUUUCUAAGUCCCAUGUCUCUUAAAUGAAAAAUUGUCAAAUGAAGGAGCCAUUUUCAGGAUUUUAAUUUAUGUAUUAAUGGUACUCUACUUCCACCCCAAAAGGAUUUAAGGUGAGCUUAAAAUAUUAUGAAAAUAAGAUAAGAUUAUUAAUUCCAUCCAUGCAAGCUCUAAAAUCUUCUAUUUCUAGAUACUAAUCUAAACAAUGAAGAGGUUAUUUUUUAAAGACAAAAGGUGUGCUUUAUAAUAUCUCUCAUUAUCAUGUUAAGAAAAAAAACCAAAAACACAGAUAAAAAAUUUCAGAAAUAUUUUUGCGUUUUCUUUGCAUAUCAUACACAUACACACACACACAUACAUACAUACACAGUCACACUAGAACUGUACUGGCAGUGAACAUAGGUUGUUUAAAGUAUAGCUAUUCAACUGUCAUAUAAAGUGAAAUCUAUAUUUUCUCUCUCCCUAUAUGACUAUAUAUUUAACAUCUCUAUGCAUAUGUGUGUGCAUACAUAUGUAUAUGUUAUAUACACACACUCCACAUUAUUAUUUCAAAGGGGAUUUUGCUCCUUCUGGCUACCAGCAAUAACUAGUCAAUAUUUACACUCUUGAAUAUCGAUGACAUCAUGCAUACACAGGAAAGCUGUGGAAAACAUCUCCAUUUUCAAACAGAGUUUUAAUUAUUUGUAAAGACUUCAAUUGUUCACUAAUGUCAUGGAUUGGUCCUCACAGUGUGAAGUGCAACUGCCCAGAUCCCCCACAGUAUUAUAAAUAGUCUUCUAAAGCCGGGUUGAUUGAUGUUUGGCAUAAAACUCUAUUCCUCUGAGCACAUAUAUUCCUUCUGUUCACUAUUUUCAUAGAAAAAUACCAGGGCUGAUUUUUUAUUCAAAUCUCCAAUUUAUGCAGGGUUUAAACUACUAAAUACUUAAAGCCGUUUUCAGAUCUUUCCCCCCUUUUCUGUUAGGUAGGUAACUAAAUCUUUGGCUUCAAUGCAAAUAAGAAUUGGAGAUUUAGCAGAUUCCUGUGGGGGAGAGGAAGAGUUUAUUAAUUAUAUUGAGAAUCAAAUAAUAUGCUUCUUUGACACUAAUGUUCCAUCUUUCUCCACCCCAAGUAUCCUAUGGGACAACUUUAAAGCCUUUAUCAGGGUCUAAAUUACUGCAUUUAUGGUUCCUUAGAAGUAGGAAUUUAAUGAAUGGCAUUCUGAGUUGAAGAGAGAAUUUGAAGGUUUAAGCUGCAACGGUGAAGCAAUUUUUUUCAAAGUAUGUGGCAGGGAUUGUAAUAUAAAACAUCAAAAAAAGCACAAUAAAAUACAUUUUCAUGAGUGUUAAUAAAUUUUUAAUACUGAUGAAAUGUAAAUUUUUCCUUCAUGACCCUUAUCUGCAUUUGACAGAGUCCAACAGAAAAUUUUAAGUACCUGUUUAAAGCAAUUUACAAGAUACUGUGGAGAUUCCCAGCAAUAAAGAAUGUACUAUAGUUAAGCUGGAAUCCAACUCCUGAAUUUCUGGAGCCCUGAAGACCACUUAGUCUUACUCACAAGAAUUGAAUGGAAUGUGAAUCUACACUCAGGUGAAGCCAGGGUAUUUUGAACGUCCCUACAAGACUGAAGCACCACUGGGAAAUAAGUAAUAGAGAUGCCAUCAUUGUGGAGGUCAUAAUGCUUGUCCUGAACACGAGGGGUCUCUAGUGAAAACAUUUGCUGACUGCUGUUCUAUCUAGGAUAUCAUCAGUGUGUAGAUGAUCAGAGUUCAUGUCAGUGUUCCUACAAGCCAAUGAAGAAAAACAGAGAUCUGUGUUCUGAAUGGAAAAAUUCCUACUGAUGCCACCCACUAGUCUGGAACAAGUCAGUCUCAAACAUAACAACAGACACUGGGGAGCUCUCCAACAAAAGAUCACCUCCCAAAGAACAGGAUGGUGUCGAAGACUGAAUGCCAGCCUGAGGAAACAGAAAUACUACAGAAGCACGCCAGAGCCUGCAGUGUCUCCUCGCUGCCUCUCAAUGAACUGCUAAAAGACCAAGAACUCUGCUGAGAGAUAAGAAGAGGGGAGGGUGUGCUGCAGGUGGUGCUGGGAGGCCCAGACCUUCUCCUGACAUCUGGGGCUGGCUACAGGAAACAGAAACAUCACCCAGGCCUUGGCGCGAGACAGGACAGAGGCAGAUUGUGACUCAGAUCUGCAGGUGGAAAGUGGGCCUUUCGUUUUCUCCUAGGGGUAGAGCAAAGCCAGAGGGCUCAGUCAGAGGAAACCUAAGGCAGUUCAUGAUCCCUUCAACUUUAUACCAUUUCCUCAAAACUGCCUCCAAACAGUGGGCAACUGGAAAGGUGGUCUGACCUCCAGUGAUCACACAGUAUGCAUUAUAACAGAAGGCUGUCACUGUCAAUUGCAUGGCUCCCUCACUAUGCAUUCCUUCUAUCAAUUUACGACAACACACUGUAGUGAGUACCUGCACAUUGCUGGGUAUUUUGGCAGACAUUGAUAGUAGAUGAAUAACACCUGGUACUUGACCUUGAGACGCUCACUGCCUAGUGUGGGGAACCAAUGGUUGCAAUAUAAAGUAUUAACUAGAGGGAUAGAGGACUGCCUGAGGAUCUCUGCACUCAGAGGAAGGGCCAUGAGAUCAGCCAGGACAGUAGGGAGGCAGUGACUCAUGAAAUUAGCAAGUGGUGAGAAGAGGGCAGUAGAUUCAGCGGCUGCUAAAAAAGGUUACUGAACUUUUUGUUUCAUCAAUGCCAAGAAAUUAAUCUGUUUUAGCCUCUUUCAUGGCCUCUGUUUGAAAUUUUUUAACUUUUUUUUUUUUUUUAGAUUUAGGGGUACAAGGACAGUUGUAUUGCAUGAGUAUAUCAUAUAGUGGUGAAGCCUGGGCUUUAAGUGCACCUAUCACCCGAAUAGCGUACAUUGUACCCACUAGGUAGUAUUUCAUUUCUCACCCUUCUUCCACCUUUUGGAAUCUCCAGUGUUUGUUGUUCUACUCUGUAUGCCCAUGUGUACUCAUUGUUUCACUCCCACUUAUAAGUGAGAACAUGUGCUUUUGACUUUCUGUUUCUGAGUUGUUUCACUUAGGAUAAUGCAUGUUCCUGUUUUGAUUCAGUCAAAAUCCUGGGGUCAGCACUGACAAUGUGAUUAACCCCUGUCCUAAAUUCACUGCAGAGGAACUGCUCCCAUAUGACUACUUAUUACCACCCAAGCCAGAAACCACAAAGAUAUUCUGACCUCUCCUCCUUCACUCCCCACCAACUGGUGAGUAAGCUAGUCACCAAGUCUUGAUUCUACUUGCAAACAUCUUUGGAAGGGAUCUCUCACUCCACACAGUCUCUGUCAUUGCCAAGUAUACCCAUUACCUCUGCUCUGUCCUACGGCUCAUCAUUCCUCAUCUACAUGCUGCACCAACCUCCUAACUCCCAUUCCUCCCCCUCCUAGUUCACUGCCAUAGCGUAAUCUUUCUAUAUCACGGAUCAUAUUGUGUCCGAAAUUGGUGGGUUCUUGGCCUCACUUACUUCAAGAAUGAAGCUGCAGACCCUCGUGGUGAGCGUUACAGUUCUUAAAGGUGAUGUGUCUGGAGUUUGUUCCUUCUGAUCAUGUUCGGAGUUUCUUCCUUCUGGUGGGUUCGUGGUCUCGUUGGCUUCAAGAGUGAAGCUGCAAACCUUCAAGGUGAGUGUUACAGCUCUUAAGGCAGCGCAUCUGGAGUUGUUUCUUCCUCC
rnacentral:lncRNA from 10 species